CUACACUGUUAUCUUUAUACCUACAUUUUCAUGUAAAUGGAAAUCUAUGUUUUUCAGACCGUUUAAAAUAUGAGUCAAAGAAAUCUAAAAGUAGAAGUACAUUGGUCAAUAGUGGCUUUGGAAUGUGCCCUCCGAUAUCAGGUAAGAGCAAACUGCUGUAAUGUUGUAUUUUGUUAUUUGUAUCUGCCUUUAGAGAUUAUAUAUACACCACACCACCUUCCAGGCAUGUAUUGACUGCUGUGCCUGGCCUCUUCCUUCAAGCAGGUAUCGAACCCUCUGCCUGCACUGCCUUCAAAUUCUGCCUUUACAAAGGCAAUUGCAGCUAACAGGCCUAGCUUUAAGCCAGAGCUUUUGGCUCUGAGACCAGCUCUUGACCUACUGGUCUUGAGUACCUUGGAAGUGUUUCUAGAAAGCCAGGCCUAAACUCUUGAAUGGACCAGGCAAGAGACACAAUCGAACUACCACACUUAAUCUUUAUAUCAACUAGAGCUAGGCUCUAGUCUAGGGGCUUUAACCCCUUAACGACAGUCAUCGGAAAAAUACCGGGUCCUGAACAGUCAAAACGGAAAACGAAAGAUCAGAGAUCGCUUCUGCCGAAAUCCCGCUGUUACUAUCUGCCAGGCAUAUAGUAACAGCCAAUUACGCCGUGUGAGCGACAUGUGAUCGCUCACAAUUGGCUGCUGUCAAAGUGGGUGUUACACUCACUCACUUUGAUAGUGAUCUCUCCCCCUUUCUCCUCUGUAGCGUUUUCUGAGGGAGAGACAGAGAUCGUAAUAGUUUGUUGCCAGCAGUGUUCCAGAGACUUUAAAAUUUAUCUAAACUUAAUAAAAAUUCGUUUUUAACCCCUUCCAUGCCAAAUCUGUGACAGCAGUGCAUUUGUACUGUCUGUAUUUAAAUUUUUUGCCCUUAAGGUUUAAAUUUGUGUUAAAAAGCUGUGUUUUAGUCUGUCAGUCAGUUUCCUUCCUCCAAAUCUCCAUUAGAUUCUUUUAACAGGAGUUAGUUUAGGGAUAACUGAGGGGCGGAGCCUGGCAGCGCAACUGAAUAGACGCCAUUUUCAUAGCUCCGAGCGCUGAUCAGCCUAAUCUCUAAAAUAUCACCUGCACCCGAGCCAAACCGCCUGCACAGAGGGCAGAGUUCGACGGAGCUAACCGCCCUGAAUCUGCCGAUGCCUUUUUUACACACCCCGGGCAAGAAAUACCAGACCCGCGGCACCAAGGCCUACCGCGCCAUCAAACACUCCCCGGCAGCAUACGGAGGCCCACUAGACUGGGACGACGCCGACCUUCUACCUUGGCUAACAGGUAAUAUGGGGAGGAAAACCCCGAAACCGCCUGCUCCCAUGCCCAAGACACAGCAAAACAUAAGUCAAAUGCUGCAAUACACGGCGCCAGCGACAAUUUCACCGGCGCAGGAGGCCUCACUUACCCGGGAGCCUUCAUUCGCACGAGACAGCGACGAGACCGCGCAUCAAAGCCUGAAGCCGAUACAAAGAGAACCACUCAGCCCAAAGGAGACAGAAGCUCCGGCUACAAAACGGGAGCUUAGAGAAAUGCUCACCGGUCUCCAAAAUAACCUUAGGGCAAUGUGGGAGGCGGACCUGGCAGCUCUCACGACCGAAGUACAGGUCGUGAAAAGGCGCACACAGACAACUGAAAGGAAUGUGACAGACCUGCAACAAGGCCUCAAAGAACUGAGCGAUAAAGUACAAGGUAUCCAGACUACACAAGCUGAAACAAACAAGCAGGUGCUCACCCUGGAUGACAGGGGCAGAAGAAAGAACAUAAAGGUGAGGGGAGUAUCAGAAACUAUACCCCUAGAAGAAUUACCGCACUUCAUUAGAAGGCUAGUGUCGGCACUACUAUCAACAAGAGAGGCUAAAUACCUCUCCUUUGAUGGGGCAUACCGAAUAUCCAAAUCCCCAAGAGCCCCUGCAACCGCACCACGAGACAUUAUUCUCAGGUGUCAAACAAUGUCCAACAAAUUAAGCCUGCUAGCAGCGAUAAAAGGGAAGACGCCAUACGAAUUUGAGAACUGUAAAAUCUCGUUCUUCCAAGACCUAAGCAGGGCUACGCUACAGUGGCGGAAAACCAUGCAGCCCCUCACGCAGAUCUUGCAGAAAGCGGGCUUGACCUACAGAUGGGCGACACCGCACACCCUAUGGAUCACUAAAGAAGGAAAGUUCUACAAAGCUACGGACCCAGCAGACAUUCCCGCAAUACUGGCAGCACUGGACUUACAACCACAACGGGGCCUCGAACACGCAUCACCGGACACACAACCUCUACUGGACACUGACUCAGAUACGUCCUCAUCCGACAUUAGAAGAGACAGGAGGCCAAAGACUUGAAUUAAUCAACACACCUGAGUACCUCAAGUUAUAGGGACAUUCGAGAGACUUUCCUAGCUAUGCCAUGACUUUUAAUUUUUUUUUUUUUUGUUCUGUUUCUGUUUAUGCAAAUCAACACACAAAUUCUUAGCUGCGCACAGAGAUUCAAGGGCACACACAGCGCCCACAGCACGCCCAGGGACUUUCUCCCCCCCCCCUCCCUAUCACACCCAACAUGCCAGAGAGACACGACAAGGGGACAAGGGACCACACAAGGAAGAGGGCCACACACUAAAACUAGGGUCAAGAGCAACUAUCACAUAGGGCUGACAACACAUAGGAACCAAUGCGCCUCAGAUCCAUAAGCACCCAAGAGAAACAAACUCGCAACCUCACUGGCAUAUAUACUACGAGACGUCACACAUAGCGGGAGUUUAACAACCCAUACAAUGACUAACUCGUUACAACCCAACAGACUACCACACUAUUAAAAAUGUGCAACAUGAUACCCAGCCAAUGUCUUCAUAUGUGAUAUGUACACCUGUGCCAGACUAGAUAGUAAAACUUAUGUAUCAAGACUUGAACGCAAAAUAUAUGUAUGAUACAUGCUAACAUGCACCAAAAAUAAAGAAUUAUAAAAAAAAAAAAAAAAAGGAGUUAGUUUAGGGAUAACUGAGGGAUUUAGUCUGUUUUAGUAAAAAAAAAAAAAAAAAAAUGUGUUUAGUCUUUUGUUUGUUUAGUCAGUUAGUGUGUUGGUAAAAGCUGUAGUGUAGUGUGUUGUACAGCUUGGAGGAGGCAUAUGCCUUCUUGGCGUCAGACUCUGACGCCACUGACACUGCGUCCCAUUUUGACCCAGGUCAGUUUUCUGACAUGUCUAGUGACAUAUACAAACACAAAGAUAAAGCACCGCGCUUACAGCAGCAGUGGCUUAGUAUCUAACAGCUUAAAAUACAUAGUAAAAACAAAGAAAACGUUACCUGCGCUCUGGCCUAAAUCCCCGUGUGCAUUUAAACAAAAAUGGAGGCUCUUUAGUUUUAUUCUAAUGGCCAUUUGAAUAUAUAAGCUCACCUGCCACGUCAAGGCAAGCCUGACUAGUGUCUAGUGACAUGUCAUCUCUGUGUGUGAGCCGGCUGCAAAAAUAUUCUGGACUGGGUACCUCCACAGUUAGCUGAGCCCAACAUCCCCCCCCACAAUUAGCUGAGCCCAACAUCUCCCCUUUUAGCGCUAACUCAGGCAUUAAUGUCAAUGUGGAUAACUUCUCCCUUAUGCUAUAUAUGUAGCUAUUGUUAGGGGAUACCAUCUGGGAGGAGAUUGUUUCCCAGAAUUUAUAUUUACUGAUACCAAUCCAGGUAGCUAUGCAGUCCAGGAGCAUGCUUGGCAUCCCACAGAUGUCCCUGAACGUAAAAAAUUCUGGGCUCUUACUAUACUCAUGGGGAUUAUAAAGAAGCCAUCAAUUCGCUCUUACUGGAGCACCAACCCCAUCUGUUCUAGUGCAGUGUACUCCCAAACCAUAUCUAGAGCAAGAUAUGAGUUGCUGCUGAGAUAUUUACAUUUUAAUGUCACCCUGUCACCCCAGAGAUCACCCCCAAUAUGAUAGGCUUCAUAAAAUAUGCCCACUGGUAGACCAUCUUCAGCACAAAUUUUCUGAAGUUUAUACUCUCCAACAAAAUGUAUCCAUUGAUGAAUCCCUAAUGAAAUGUAAAGGGAGAUUAGGAUUCAAACAAUACAUCCCCUCAAAGCGCUCUAGGUAAGACUUAAAAUUGUACAAACUGUGCGAGAGCGAAAGUGGCUAUACAUUUGCCUUUCGUGUAUAUGAGGGGGAAGGUGGUCAACUGGACCCUCCUGGCUGUCCAGACUCUCUGGGGAAAGUGGAAAAGUUUUUGGGACUUACUGAUCCCUUUGUUCAAUAAAGGUUACCACCUUUAUGUGGACAAUUUUUAUAGCAGUGUCCACUUGUUUAAAACUCUUUAUGGUUUUCAGACACUGGCCUGCGGCACUGUAAGAAAAAAUGCCAAAGAUUUCCCCAGACCUCUCAUAGAGGCCAAAUUAAAAAAAGGUGAAUGUAAAGCUCUGCGCAAAGCUGAAGUGCUUGCAAUAAAAUUUAUGGACAGGAAGGAUGCUAACAUGCUAACCACCAUCCAUGAUGAAAGCAUGUCAGACGUCCCUGUCUGAGGCAGACUACAGACCAAACCUGUUUGCAUCAGGGCCUAUAACAGGCACAUGGGGGUGUUGAUUUGGCUGAUCAGCAGAUGCAGUCAUAUCUUAUUUUAAGAAAAACAAAGGCCUGCUAUAAAAAGGUGGCUAUCUAUCUGAUGCAAGUAGCAACCCACAAUUCAUUUUUCUUUCUUUUUUUUUUUUUUUAAACCCCCCCCACCCCCCCAAAAAAAAACAGAAUCCUUGAAAAACUACCUUUCACCAAUUUCAACUCAAGCUGAUUUCCUCAAUCAUUUAUGGAGAUGGUCAAGUUCCAACCACCGUGCCAGAGGAAUACAGAAUUGGUGCUACAAAUUUUAUUUUUACGAUACCGCCAACUUUAAAAAAACAAAACAGACACCCCUUUUCACUGUCCCGAUUGCCCUUCAAAACCUGGACUGUGUAUUGGAACAUGUUUUAAGCUCUACCACCCUUUUCUAAUACUUUUCUAAUACUUGUUCCUGAAUUUUAUUUUUGUUUCUAUUGAAGGCAGCAAAUUUUAGUUAGUCAGUUUCCUUCCCCCAAAUCUCCAGUUAGAUUCUUUUUGCAGGAGUUAGUUUAGAGAUUGCUACUAAAAGUGCAUUUGAUACCUCCACAUUUUGGGGGUGGAGCAGCCCCACUCACCUGACUCACACCACUGGUCGGCCUACGCUACACACACCGUCAAGCCACAGAAUAAAGAUGGCGACUGCUGACCAUGAGGUCGAAUCGAACGAGCAGCACAAAUCACUGGAGCAGCGCCUGAAUGACCUGUUCCGCAGAUUCUGGCGUAAACUACAACGCAAAGCAGUUCGAAGCAGGCAGGCACAGAAGAUAAAUCUUACCUCCCAGGGGCCAACAAGGAAUAGGGAAGCAACCCAGAUUAAAGCACCCAACCAGCGCAGUCAACGAAGUAGGGCCUACCAUCACUACCGCAGGUGUCACGCCGCAGAGACCAAAAUGCUCUAUGACCAUGGACAUGCCCAGCCGGCCAUGGAGACUGCCAAACCCCCGGAGGGAGCAGAGAGCUCGACAAGGUAUGGCCCGACACAGGCAACGCACACAUGCCCAACGUGGGGGAAAGAAACUGUGCCCAGGAGGCGAAAAGCAUCAGGGCCAACAUCGACCUAGCCUCAACCCCGUACACACUACAGGGUCUGUUCCUUAUUCAACCUAUACCUACGUACAGCCACCCACAAGGAACUCCCACAUGCAGCACCCCCGGAACAAUUGGAAGCGGUUCCCACCGGCACCAUCGAAAGUUCAGCUGGAAGCGGCCUUGCGCACGGGCAUUGGCUGAUAGGAUCCACCUGGAACUUACACACAUUCCCAAGCAGGGGAAUGGGUAUGACGCUGGACUCUCUGGCGUGGGCCUCCCUUAUUCCACCAUUGCAAUGCUUAAUGUCUUGACUGAAUAUCCUAAUGUUUUCGAGAAAUCUAGCCCUUACACAGGCACUAUAGACAUAAACAUGGGAGCACAGCCCCAGGGGCUGCCCCCACCUACUAGCCUUGCACAGAGUAACAAAUGUCCCCUACCACGUGUAAACCACCUAGCCUUGCCUGAACACUAAGCCUGCACCACCUCACUGCACUACAUGGCUCCUCGUAGGCCACCAGACACACCACACACCUACCCCCUCAACUGUCUAGCCAGGACCAAUGUGCCUAGCGCAAGCGCAAACAUUAUAAAUCUCUACCCAACAUCAGUGUGCUCCAAGCUUGACUGUGAUAUGUUUAAUCUAUAUAAACUACCUGUUUACCUCAUGCAUGCUGGACCACACCCUUCAGCUCUAAACAUAGCUUUUACAUUUGCAUGCAUAUGUAACAUGUUAAAAUCAUUCUUCUUAUACUAUAAAAAUGUGCACUGCCUAGCAAUUACCCCAUUUGUUACAAAUGUUGAGCAGCUAGAGGAUUGCCGUUGGGGUACCUCCAGCCAGUUUAUUACACGCACUGCAAAAAAAAAUGCCUGAUGCCUGCACAUUUGGUUAAAAAUGUUUUCUGGCAGUAACAUAUAACCGGCUGUCCAAAAGCAAAUGACGUGUGCAGAAAAACUGAAUUACAAAAAAUGACCACCACACACUUUCUCUAAUUUUUUUUAUUUUUUCGGGGGGGGUGUAAAAUGGUUGGAGGAAAGAAGUCAAAACACCCCAUCUAUAACCUUGGAUGUCUACUUUAUACAAAUAUAUACUUUUAAACCAUAAAUUCAACUUGGGGGAUGUAAAAAUGCACCACACUUAACAAGCAAGCAAACUAUAUUCAGACAAAAUGGGCAAGUCCAAAAUUUGUUAAUGUAAAAUCGUUUUAAACCAAUGCAUGGGGGGUGUACUUAGGGGACUUUGCAGAAAACAAAUGGGGAUGUUUUCUGGCAGUUACCUAUACCAGCUGGCUAAAAUCAAAAAGAAUAAUAAAAAAAUUAACACCAUGCACGUUCUUUUAAAACUUUUUAGCACAAUGGUAGGGGGAAGGAUGUUAAAACACUCCAUAUACAAUACCUUGGUAUGUCUACUUUAUAAAAAUAUUUACUUUCAUGAUGGUAACAUUAACUGGGGGAUGCAAAACUAUGCCAAACCUAGAAUAGGCCAAGCAUACCUAUAUAUCAAGUUGAAAAAACUGACGUGCACAAGUCUUGAUCGUGGCCUUUUAGCCCCCAAACAACCCAGCAAACCUAUGCAUGGGUGGUAUCACUGUACUGAGGCGAUGUUGCUGAACACAUGUUGGGGUGUUGUUUGGCAGUGAUACGUAACAGGAUCUGUUAAUUCAUGCCUAAGUACAAUGUAUGUGAAAGGAAAAAAAAUAAAAAAUUACUACCCAAAAGUUUGACAAAGGCUGGUGGUAAAUUCAGUGCAUGAAAAGUGUUAAAAUGCCACCAUUUAAAAUACCCUGGGUUGUCUACUUUUCAAAAAUAUAUGGUUUGAUUGGGGUAAAAUACAUUGGCAGGUUGACUACAUGUCAAAAUUCCAAGUUGGAAAACGGACAUGCCCACCUGCCAAAUGUGGCUUUUUAGCCCCCCUAACAACCGGACAAGCCCACUGUACUCAGGAGAUGUUGCUGAACACUUAUUAGUGUGUUUUUUGGCAGCAACACAUAACAGGAUCUGUGAAUUUAUACCUGAAUUGCAAUGUACGUGAAAAAAGAAGAAAAGAAAAAAAGAAACUAGCUAUGCAGAGAUUGGUGGUAAAAUGGCUGCAUAGAAAGUUUAAAAAUAUCCUUAGAUAAAUGCCCUGGGUUGUCUACUUUAAAAAAAGAAUAUGUAUAUGUAGGGUGUUUUUCAGAGAUUUAUGACAUAUAACAGUGUUACAAUGUCACUAUUGAUAAAUUUUAAAAAUGUAUAUUUUGAAACCGCAAUAUCUUACUUGUACUUAUAGCUCUGUAACUUACAAAAAAAAGCAUGUAAACACUGGGUGUUUUUAAACGCAUGACAAAAUUUUGAACCUAUUUAGCAGUUUUUUAAAUUGGCUUUUGUAGACGAGUAAAAAUUUUCAAGUAAAAGUCAAACGUGUUUUUAAUUUUUUAAUAUUUCACCAUAUUUUAUUUAAAUUUUUUAAAUUAAAUUAUAUGACCAGAUAGAAAUAAUGGUAUGUAGAGAGAGCCCUUUUUGUUCUGGGAAAAAAAAAAAAAAAUAUAACUUGUAUGGAAACAGUAUGUGUGAGAGAGGUAAAUUACAGCUAAACACAAACACCCUAGAAGUGUUAAAACAGCUCUGGUCCUUGGUGGGUGGUGCUUAAACACGGGGCUGAGCAGUCGCAUGGCUUCAGAGCUCCGGCAAACUAUAGCCGAAAACCGCCAAAUUUGUGCAAUCAUACCCUGGAAAACCACGGCAAAUAUCUGUCAAGCGGGAGGAAUCCAGCAUGGGUCGGGAGACCAAGAAAAAGAAACCCGACAGGCCACGGCAAAGCCUGGAUAUCGGAGAGCUGCUGAGGCAGGCACAAGAUGGCAGACUACUGGGGAACAUACUCGGAGCUCUCUGACGACUCUCUUCACUGGGGGAUGAAACACCAGACCUACCGGCCAGACAGACACCGAAGCCGAAACCUAUAAGCACAGACUCUGCAUCUGUUACAACCGGGGUGCUCAAAAAUUGUUAGCAGACCUCCAGUCAAACAUCCAGUCUGAUGUGGCUACUCUCCGCUCAGACAUCCAAGGACUAACAGGAAGGCUGAGCACUUUGGAGAACACCUCCGACAUCGAUGAGGUGCAAAUCACCUCUUUAUAGCAGGAGAUCCAAGGACUGCAGAGCCGUAAUCAGGAGUAUGACUGGAGAUUUGCAGCCCUGGAAGAUACACGCCUCAAGGUACGGAGCAUAAAGGAAGACAUCCCAACAGCUGAAUUACUGCACUUGUUGCAGAGGCUCCUGACAGCACUGCUACACCCGUGGCAAGUGAAAAACAUAGAGAUAAACGGCAUCUUCAGGGCCCCAAAGCCCGCAAGAGCACACAGUACAGCCCCUCGGCACCUUAUAAUAUGCUUUCAGCAUCAGAAAGAUAAAAGCCGCCUUACUGACGGCGGUCCGAAACCACACACCUUAUCAGUUUGAAACGAUGUUGCUCACUUUCUUUGCGGACAUUUUGGGAGGCACACUUGCCUGGCGGAGGUCCCUCAAGCCCUUUACAUCCCUCCUCACGAAACAGGGUAUAAAUUAUCAAUGUCGACUUACCCGCUCCCUAACCGUCCUGCAUGGGAACGACAAGCACAAAGUUUUAGAUCUGCCGGCCAAAUACCCAAGCAGGGUGACAAACAUUCCGAGAGCUUGGUGGCGUAAUUUCAUCACCUCAGCACAUCGCAGUUCAGUUAGACUCACUUGUUAUUUGGACUGAGUUCCCACUGGUGUACAUAGCCUAACCUAAUGUCUCGUGUGUAUAUACAAUAUAAUUCAAAUCUCAAUAAUUAGAGCGCAAUUUAUAGUUAACUCUUGUGUUACUCUUCAUGUAAUCAACUCUCUUGUAUGGAGUAUAUGUUUCACUUUUAUGAUGUUAAGCCUUGUGGUUUGAAACAAAAAAAAAAAACCAGCUCUGGUCCUUAAAGUACAACAUGGCCAAAACAGUCCAGUCCUGAAGGGGUUAAACUUGUGGUGACAUGCUUAAAAUAAAACCUAAUUCCAAAUAAAUAAAACUGGCAACAAUACAAUCAUGAAAUGUGACUGACGAAAGGGAGGUUUGGGGGAACAUACACCAACAGAAUUCAAAACAUUCUAUUUUGUCACAUUGUAAAACCUACAUGAGAACACAUUGGUGAUUAGAAAUGGUCAGCCAAUAGAUAGCAAUGCGCCACACUGCUGCUGUGGAUGGUUAUGGGUCAGUCACACUUUCCACAACAAAAAUUGCUGUGAUCCUUAUCCCCUGAAAGACAUAGCUUUUUGUUGUCUUCUAAUACAAUUCUGGAAAUUUUGCCACUUUCUUGCUUAAUCAUCAAUUUUCUAUUUCUAGCUUAGUGUGCCCACACUUGUAUAACAUUUUUAAAAGCACGGAUAAAGUUUCUUCUGAUACCCUACAUCACAUAUCCUGUUAUUUAAUAUCCAUAGAAUAUAAAAUGUACUACUCAUUCCUGUAUAGUAUUUCUCAGCUCCAGUUUGUCUCCCUGUCAUUGGAGAAAUCUCAGAAUGCCCCUGAAUUCCAAGAUAAUCACCAUGUCCGAACUUAAUCGUUCAGCCAUGGUAAUUUAAAAGGCUUUACACAGCACUCACUUUAUCUUUAGUAAAAUGCUUUAUAUGUUUGAAUUGCUCCUUUAAGUUUGAAAAGGCUUGUCAGAAAUAGUUGCUCUGGUUUUCCUGAAGGUUAAAUAAAAUUGUGUAUUCAUUCCUUAAUGAAUUUAAAAUUAGCGUUGUCCUUCUUUGUACGAUUGCCUUAACAUGAAUACAUUUUCUUUUAUAGCUGAUGAAUUCCAAGGGAUUUCUGAAAGCAGUGACUCUAACAAUACCAUAUCUGAGGAUGCCUUAUUUAGAGACAAACUGAAACAUAUGGGCAAAU
rnacentral:lncRNA from 1 species